rnacentral:rRNA from 1 species
AACGAACGCUGGCGGCAGGCCUAACACAUGCAAGUCGAGCGCCCCGCAAGGGGAGCGGCGGACGGGUGAGUAACGCGUGGGAAUUUUCCUCAAGGUACGGAACAACUCAGGGAAACUUGGGCUAAUACCGUAUGAUGUCUAGCGACCAAAGAUUUAUCGCCUUGGGAUAAGCCCGCGUCAGAUUAGGUAGUUGGUGGGGUAACGGCCUACCAAGCCUGCGAUCUGUAGCUGGUCUGAGAGGACGAUCAGCCACAUUGGGACUGAUACACGGCCCAAACUCCUACGGGAGGCAGCAGUGGGGAAUCUUGCGCAAUGGGCGAAAGCCUGACGCAGCCAUGCCGCGUGAAUGAUGAAGGUCUUAGGAUUGUAAAGUUCUUUCGCCCGUGACGAUGAUGACGGUAACGGGAGAAGAAGCCCCGGCUAACUUCGUGCCAGCCGCCGCCGUAA